rnacentral:rRNA from 1 species
ACGGAGGGUGCAAGCGUUAUCCGGAUUCACUGGGUUUAAAGGGUGCGUAGGUGGGCAGGUAAGUCAGUGGUGAAAUCUCUGGGCUUAACCCGGAAACUGCCAUUGAUACUAUUUGUCUUGAAUUCUCUGGAGGUAAGCGGAAUAUGUCAUGUAGCGGUGAAAUGCUUAGAUAUGACAUAGAACACCCAUUGCGAAGGCAGCUUACUACGGAGAUAUUGACACUGAGGCACGAAAGCGUGGGGAUCAAACAGGAUUAGAUACCCUGGUAGUCCACGCCCUAAACGAUGAUUACUCGACAUUAGCGAUAUUACUGUUAGUGUCUAAGCGAAAGCAUUAAGUAAUCCACCUGGGAAGUACGAUCGCAAGAUUG